AUAGGUGGAAGAGGAGUGUCAUCGUAGCUCGUUUACCGUCACCUGAUGCCUAGUGGUCUUAUUUGUACGCGGAUCGGUUAACACGUCGAUCGUCCGCGAUGAUCGUACCAAAGGACGUUUUACAAUUCAUUUAGAACGAUCGAGAGAAGAUCGAGUUCCUCGACUAAUCAAUUUUCAACGAUGCGAGCAAUUUGGACAAACAUCGUCGGAAGGAUGUACGUGAAUAUCGUGUGAUAUUUUGCCAAGAUUAAACGUUAUGGCGAAGUAUACUUCGAAGUAUCGCGGCAGCAAGAUGUACGCGAUCACGAAAUUCGAAAACGAAGUAUGGAGAGGAAUUGCGACCAUGGUAAACAGCAUGGACGAUGCGAGAACCGUCGAUUACUCGCGGAUAUUCCAGAUGACAGAAGCGGAAAAAGAAAGACGAAGACACCGAGG
rnacentral:misc_RNA from 1 species